AUACGGAGGGGACAAGCGUUAUUCGGAAUCACUGGGCGUAAAGGACGCGUAGGCGGGUUGGCAAGUCAGAUGUGAAAUCCUACAGCUUAACUGUAGAACUGCAUUUGAAACUGCUAACCUAGAGUAUGGGAGGGGGAGAUGGAAUUAGUGGUGUAGGGGUAAAAUCCGUAGAUAUCACUAGGAAUACCGAAAGCGAAGGCGAUCUCCUGGAACAUAACUGACGCUAAGGCGUGAAAGCGUGGGGAGCAAACAGGAUUAGAAACCCUAGUAGUCC
rnacentral:rRNA from 1 species